AUGUCAUCAGCCAUCAAGAAAGUGCAGAGGUAUACACCUGCAGUAUCAGUUUAAUAUCUGGUACAAGUUGUAUUUGGACCCAAUAUAUAAAACUUAUUUUUGCAAGUUGGUGCAGUGCUUGAAGCCUGCUUCACCUCCGCCGCGGGUCGGCCUGGUAUUGCACUAUCUUCGAGAUCUGUUCAUGGUUU